AUAACUUUGUGGCUUAGCUUUUAUCGUGUGCCACAAAUUUUAAACUUUCACUAUGAAAAUAUUCACUCAAAAAUUCUGUGCUGUCCAAUUGAAUGUGAAUGCUUUGUAAAAAUGCCGCCGCGAAAAUCUUGUAUCUCACGGAACACACACAGGUCGAAGGCUGUGAGAAAAUAUAGACAAAAGCAGAAAGAUGACUUAGAAAAACUUGAGAUCGAGGUAUACGAGGCAAGGG